rnacentral:misc_RNA from 1 species
UCUGCCAAAAGUAACUACAAC